rnacentral:lncRNA from 1 species
AGUUCUUUUAUCCAUUUGUUCACUGCUAUGUGAUCCAAACCCAGAUGACCCCCUAGUGCCAGAGAUUGCACGGAUCUAUAAAACAGACAGAGAUAAGUAAGUACAACAGAAUAUCUCGGGAAUGGACUCAGAAGUAUGCCAUGUGAUGCUACCUUAAAGUCAGAAUAACCUGCAUUAUAGCUGGAAUAAACUUUAAAUUACUGUUCCUUUUUUGAUUUUCUUAUCCGGCUGCUCCCCUAUCAGACCUCAUCUUUUUUAAUUUUAUUUUUUGUUUACCUCCCUCCAUUCAUUCACAUGCUCAUCUGAGAAGACUUAAGUUCUUCCAGCUUUGGACAAUAACUGCUUUUAGAAACUGUAAAGUAGUUACAAGAGAACAGUUGCCCAAGACUCAGAAUUUUUAAAAAAAAAUGGAGCAUGUGUAUUAUGUGGCCAAUGUCUUCACUCUAACUUGGUUAUGAGACUAAAACCAUUCCUCACUGCUCUAACAUGCUGAAGAAAUCAUCUGAGGGGGAGGGAGAUGGAUGCUCAGUUGUCACAUCAAAGGAUACAGCAUUAUUCUAGCAGCAUCCAUUCUUGUUUAAGCCUUCCACUGUUAGAGAUUUGAGGUUACAUGAUAUGCUUUAUGCUCAUAACUGAUGUGGCUGGAGAAUUGGUAUUGAAUUUAUAGCAUCAGCAGAACAGAAAAUGUGAUGUAUUUUAUGCAUGUCAAUAAAGGAAUGACCUGUUCUUGUUCUACAGAGAAUGGAAAUUGGAAGUCAAACACCCUUUGUAUUCCAAAAUAGGGUCUCAAACAUUUUGUAAUUUUCAUUUAAAUUGUUAGGAGGCUUGGAGCUAUUAGUUAAUCUAUCUUCCAAUACACUGUUUAAUAUAGCACUGAAUAAAUGAUGCAAGUUGUCAAUGGAUGAGUGAUCAACUAAUAGCUCUGCUAGUAAUUGAUUUAUUUUUCUUCAAUAAAGUUGCAUAAACCAAUGAGUUAGCUGCCUGGAUUAAUCAGUAUGGGAAACAAUCUUUUGUAAAUGCAAAGCUGUUUUUUGUAUAUACUGUUGGGAUUUGCUUCAUUGUUUGACAUCAAAUGAUGAUGUAAAGUUCGAAAGAGUGAAUAUUUUGCCAUGUUCAGUUAAAGUGCACAGUCUGUUACAGGUUGACACAUUGCUUAACCUGAUUUAUGCAGAAUUAAUAAGCUAUUUGGAUAGUGUAGCUUUAAUGUGCUGCACAUGAUACUGGCAGCCCUAGAGUUCAUAGAUGGACUUUUGGGACCCAGCAGUUUUGAAAUGUGUUUAUGGAGUUUAAGAAAUUUAUUUUCCAGGUGCAGCCCCUGUCUAACUGAAAUUUCUCUUCACCUUGUACACUUGACAGCUGAAAAAAAACAACAUGGGAGUAAUAAUGGGUCAGAAUUUGCAAAAUAAAGUACUGUUUUGGUGUGGGAGUUGUCAUGAGGCUGUGUUGAAGUGACUUAUCUAUGUGGGAUAUUGAGUAUCCAUUGAAAUGGAUUUGUUCAGCCAUUUACAUUAAUGAGCAUUUAAAUGCAACAGAUACCAUUUCAGGUGACUUAACAUGAAUGAAUAAAAGUCAAUGCUAUUGGAUUGUUUUUUGUUUGACAAGUGCUAUCUGUGCCACUGAUUUAACUUCUGUAGUAACAAGGGCAUUACCAUUCUUCACCUUUCCUAAUUCUGAUCCCAUAGUUUUACAUUUUUCCUGUUUAUUUUGAUUUUGUUCACUGCUUUAUUUCUUAAAGUUCUAGCACAUCUGUGACUCCUCCACUUCCACAUUUUUGCACUGCUUACACUUACGUGCAAUCUUAUUCCUUGUCUGCACACAGAUGUGGAAAGCUAGAAAUAAAUGUUAAAACUUACUUUUUAUAAACAUUUUAAUAUGUAGUUUGGAC